rnacentral:rRNA from 1 species
AUUGAACGCUGGCGGCAGGCCUAACACAUGCAAGUCGAACGAGUGGCGGACGGGUGAGUAAUGUCUGGGAAACUGCCCGAUGGAGGGGGAUAACUAUCGGAAACGAUAGCUAACACCGCAUACUGUGAGAUGGACCCUCGUUGUAUUAGCUAGUAGGUGGGGUAACGGCUCACCUAGGCGACGCUCCCUAGCUGGUCUGAGAGGAUGACCAGCCACACUGGAACUGAGCCACGGUCCAGACUCCUACGGGAGGCAGCAGUGGGGAAUAUUGCACAAUGGGCGCAAGCCUGAUGCAGCCAUGCCGCGUGUAUGAAGAAGGCCUUCGGGUUGUAAAGUACUUUCAGCGAGGAGGCGUUACUCGCAGAAGAAGCACCGGCUAACUCCGUGCCAGCAGCCGCGGUAAUUC